GACAGAGGUGCUAAGCGUUAGGCGGAAUCACUGGGCUUAAAGCGUGUGUAGGCGGAUCGUUAAGUACCUUGUGAAAUCCCACGGCUCAACCGUGGAACUGCUGGGUAUACUGGCGAUCUUGAGCCACCUAGGGGCGAGCGGAACAAGCGGUGGAGCGGUGAAAUGCGUAGAUAUCGCUUGGAACGCCAAUGGUGAAAACAGCUCGCUGGGGGUGUGCUGACGCUGAGACACGAAAGCCAGGGGAGCGAACGGG
rnacentral:rRNA from 1 species